rnacentral:rRNA from 1 species
AUCCUGGCUCAGGAUGAACGCUGGCGGCGUGCAUAACACAUUCAAGUCGAACGGUGAGGCACCUUCGGGUGCUGAUCAGUGGCGGACGGGUGAGUAACGCGUGAGCAAUCUGCCCUAUACUCAGGGGAUAACACAGGGAAACUUGUGCUAAUACCUGAUGACAUAGUACGGAUCGCAUGUUCUGUAUAUCAAAGCUCCGGUGGUAUAGGAUGAGCUCGCGUAUGAUUAGAUAGUUGGCAGGGGCAACGGCCUACCAAGUCUGCGAUCAUUAGCCGAACUGAGAGGUUGAACGGCCACAUUGGAACUGAGAAACGGUCCAGACUCCUACGGGGAGGCAGCAGUGGGGAAUAUUGGGCAAUGGGCGAAAGCCUGACCCAGCGACGCCGCGUGCGGGAAGACGGUCUUCGGAUUGUAAACCGCUUUCAGCAGGGAAGAAGCAAGUGACGGUACCUGCAGAAGAAGUCACGGCUAACUACGUG